UACGUAGGGUGCAAGCGUUGUUCGGAAUUACUGGGCGUAAAGAGUGUGUAGGCGGUGUUCCAAGUCUGGUGUGAAAUCUCCCGGCUUAACUGGGAGGGUGCAUUAGAAACUGGAAUGCUAGAGGAUGGGAGAGGUAAGCGGAAUUCCUGGUGUAGCGGUGAAAUGCGUAGAUAUCAGGAGGAACACCGGUGGUGUAGACGGCUCUCUGGACCAUAACUGACGCUGAGACACGAAAGCGUGGGUAGCAAACAGG
rnacentral:rRNA from 1 species